UGUACGAACGUUAGCUGCGGGUUUUUCAAUGGAGCAAAAAAAAGAAAAAUCUUUGCCAGCCUAAAGAAUAGCAAAGGAUAUUUGGAAAUUUCACAUUUUUGUGGCCACACAACACAAGACCAUCAUCAGCCUCAUUAGCACUACCAAUAGUAGACCAUUCUUGUGAGAUUGGCCUGAAGGAGUGCGAGUGUCACAGAGAGUGUUUGUGGUUGUUGUUUUUUUUUUUUAAGUGUGCGUCUGGCCAUCAUUACCCUGUUGUGGUCCUUGUUACGAAUUCCCCCAGAAAAGUGUUAAAGUGCCAAAUGAAGUGAUUGUUCGAAUUGUUAAUUUGCAAAUGGUAGGCAAUCGGUCGGUUGGUCGUUGGGCAGAUACAACAACAACUACUACAACUACAACUGCAAAACAGCCUGUGUUCUAAACAUUUAGCUUAACUUACUUAUUGCCAUCUUUGGCGGAAAUUGUGCCUGAUUUGUCAAACGGAAACGGAAAUCGAAACAUUUUGAAAUUAUUUGCAACAGGAAACAGUGUGAAAUUCGAUUUUAACGCGAGCACAGAACAGGUGUCCUUUUUCCUGUUUAUUUUCCUUUUUGCAUUUUUCGGUUUUUUUUACGCUUUCGCCACUGAGAUUCUUGGGGCCCUGUUUAAACACUACUUAACGCUGCGGAUGAUGGUCCAAUUUCGGGAGUAUUUAUUUAUAGAAGUGUAAACACGUUAUUUCGUUUUUGUUCUUCUUGUUGUUGUUGUUGCUGUUGUGAGGAGACAACAACGCGGCUAAAUGUUAUGCCUUCAAUUCAUGUGGAACUUAAUGGCAGUCUCUUAAAAGUUCAUGUGUUCAUGGGGUAUUUUUAGGCAGCAGACUGGCUGGCACAACAUUGACCCAAUAACAACAACAACAAACUAAGCUGCAACAGUUGCUCGAAUCGAACAGCUUACAUUCACCUGCUUUGGGGAGACUAAGUAAAAAUGGAAGAAUAGGCAUAGGGAGGAUAUGUAAAUGGGACUUUUAAAGUACAUGACGAAUAAAAAUGGGCUUAGUGCUAUGGCCAAAGUUUGCCUUUUCUACAGGAAACUUUAACAAUUUGGGCAUAUUUAAAGAAAAUUACUUUUUUCCCUCACUAGCGAGGAAGGGAGGACCUACUACAAAAAAAUAUAUCUCAUGAAUUAAAUUUGGCAGUUUGGCUUGUAGAAACCAAAAAAGCACAUCUCCAGCAUCCUAUGAACGAUUUAAAGAAAGAAAAAACAGGCCUACUUGGUUUUUUUUUUGUUCUUCUUCUUAUUUCAACAAAAUUCUUGCGUUUAAUAAAAGCACCCGGAUUUUCAUUAAGCCAGAA
rnacentral:sRNA from 1 species